rnacentral:rRNA from 1 species
CCCUUAGACACUCUAGGCGGCACGCGCGCUACAAUGGGUGGAAGAACGUGUUACUGCCUCCGAAAGGAGGGGUGAAUCACGAAUUAUUGCCCGUGAAUGGGAUAGUUUGUUGCAAUUUUCGGACUUGAACUAGGAAUCCCUUGUAAACAUGCUCAAGAAUAGCGUGUUGAAUACGUCCCUGCCGUUUGUACACACCGCCCGUCGUUUCUUCCGACUGAUACUCAUUGUGAGUUGCAAGGACCCUUUAUUGGGAAAUUGCUGCAAAUGCUUUGUAUUGGAGGAAGAAAAAGUCGUAACA